GGGGGGUCCGAGUUGUAAUUUGCAGAGGGUGUUUCGGGUGAGGCACCGGCCUAAGUCCCUUGGAACAGGGCGUCCCAGAGGGUGAGAGUCCCGUAUGCGGCCGGCGACCGAGUCCAUGUGAAACCCCUUCGACGAGUCGAGUUGUUUGGGAAUGCAGCUCUAAAUGGGUGGUAUAUUUCAUCUAAAGCUAAAUACUGGCCAGAGACCGAUAGCGCACAAGUAGAGUGAUCGAAAGAUGAAAAGCACUUUGGAAAGAGAGUUAAACAGCACGUGAAAUUGUUGAAAGGGAAGCGCUUGCAACCAGACCUGUCGUCGGGCGAUCAGCCGCCGUUCUCGGCGGUGCACUCGCCCGGUCGCAGGCCAGCAUCGGUUUGGGGGGUCGGACAAAGGCCCCGGGAACGUGGCUCCCUUCGGGGAGUGUUAUAGCCCGGGGUCGCAAUGCGACCAGCCCGGACCGAGGACCGCGCUUCGGCAAGGAUGCUGGCGUAAUGGUUGUCAGCGGCCCGUCUUGAAACACGGACCAAGGAGUCUAACAUCUAUGCGAGUGUUUGGGUGUUAACCCCAUGCGCGGAAUGAAAGUGAACGCAGGUGGGAACCCUAGGG
rnacentral:rRNA from 1 species